UGUUGUUCCCCACGCACGCCGCCGCCCCACGCCGGCCAAUCCCCAUGCCUCCCACCGCCGCCCCAUGUCGUCAGGGGCUACCGCCGGUCUAUCCCACUGUCGCCCCAUGCCGCCCUGCCUCUGCAUCACCAUCCCACGCCGCCCUUCCUCUGUAGCACCGCCCCACACGAUGCCCCGUUCCCACAGCCCCGCCCAAUUCCGACAUGCCUCUCCACCGUCGGCUCCACACCCUCGGGCUCUCUCUCCGGUUGGCCGCCUCUCUCCAACCUCCCUGGCCCAACCCCCCAUCUCCAUCGUCCAGCUCAUGAAGACACACGCAGUGGCGGUGGCGGCGAAGAUUUGGAUCUGGGCCGCGUGUGGCUGGGCAAGGACAUCCCUCUCUGUCUUUCGCUGGGCAAGGGCAUCGAUGCGGCUGAGGUAGAACAGAGGACAGAUGCUGGUAACGUUGAGCUGACAAAGAGAAGUAGCAGAAUAUUUGCUAUGCCACUGUAGUGCAUAAGGCAGCGUGCUGAUGUUGCUUCAUUACUUCUCCAUAGAGCAUGG